GGGACUAUAGUUAACAAUAACAUUUGAGUUGCAUUCAAAAGGUACUACCCAUGUAGUUAGCCUCA
rnacentral:tRNA from 1 species